rnacentral:rRNA from 1 species
GAUGAACGCUAGCGGCAGGCUUAAUACAUGCAAGUCAAGGGGGUAGCAAUACAACCGGCGCACGGGUGAGUAACGCGUACACAACAUGCCAUAGUACUGGGGUAUAGCUUUGGGAAACUGAAGGUAAUCCCCCAUAACAUUGCGAGAGGGCAUCUGAUUGCAAUUAAAGUUUCGGCGGUAUAUGAUUGGUGUGCGUUUGAUUAGCUAGUUGGUAGGGUAACGGCCUACCAAGGCGACGAUCAAUAGCUGGCGUGAGAGCGCGACCAGCCACACUGGAACUGAGACACGGUCCAGACUCCUACGGGAGGCAGCAGUAGGGAAUAUUGGACAAUGGAGGAAACUCUGAUCCAGCCAUGCCGCGUGAUAGAUGAAGGCCCUCUGGGUUGUAAAUAUCUUUUAUCUGGGAAGAAACUCCUCUAUUCUUAGAGGCCUGACGGUACCAGAGGAAUAAGCACCGGCUAACUCCGUG